GUUAGAUGAUCCCUAUGAAUGUUUGAAUGUUCGUGAACUUGUUUGAGUUGGUGAUUUCCAUUAUGCAUGCGAUUGGGGAUUUUUGGAUCUGUGGUUUUGGUUUUAUGGAUAAUUGGUUCUUGGAUUUGUGUAUUUAUGCAUCGUGGUUUUCUACCCCUUGAGAUAGUCGGUUUUUAAAAUGGAGUUUCCGAAUAGAAAACAGUUUUAAAAGAUUCUUCAAUGGUUUUUAUGAAUGAUUAAAUAGAGUUUAAAAACGAAGCUUCCGGGUGGGAAGCACUUUUAAAUAGGAUGACUGUUGUACUGUGCAUCGCAUUAUCUAGCACCUAAGGAGUAUUUAGAGACAUGCAUUAUUUCUAAGACUCGCUAGCUGUAUGAAAAUGCAUUGCAUGAUUUGAUUGUGGAUUGGUAAAUAUAGGUUGUUGUUGUGAUUCUGAUGUAUUGUUGGUACGCUGUGCAAAUACAAAAGAGACUCUGUACGAGUGGACAGAGGAACUUUGUAUUUGUGGCGGGUCUAUACGUCAAGUGGGCGAGGUUGAAUU
rnacentral:lncRNA from 1 species